CUAAUCCAUUCCAUCUCUUUUGCAGCUUGCUAAACCUGAGGGCGAACUGAAAAGCUCCUUAAAGAGGCAAAGUUUAGGAUUGAAAAUGAGGGCAUGGAGGUGGGGUGGGCAGGAUUAGGCAGCCCGUCCUCGUACUUCAGCUCGCCUGUCUCCGGUGCUACCCCAGUAAAUAGCCACGGUGAGUUACCUCAGAUUGCCUGUCUCCAAUGCCUUGGAUGCCGCUGUGCAUUCCACGAUCACCAGCCCAACGUCACCUCUCUCCGACAGCCUGACGAGAAAGAACCAGGUGGCGGUCCUCAUGCGAAAACCGGCAGAGGCUAGACAAGUGCUGCACUGAAGCCUUGUAGAGCUGAUUGCAAAUUGAACAAGCGCACAUAGUGAGAACUUGUUAGCGGGAGACAGGAAAUUUUAUAGGCAAAAGACACUACCUUUAAUCUUUUAUGGUUGAGAGCGUGGUUGAAGGAACAAACCAUAAUACAUAAUCAUCAUUCUGGUGCCAACAGCAGGUGAGAUGCCUAGAGUGCAACAUAGAAGGGGUCUUCUAUGCGGAUUCUU